CCAUACUGGCUUUAUUGUUCAAUAUUUUGCCGCUGGUGCAAUAACUUGGUGAAUGAGUCCCUGAAUGUGAAUUCUGACAUUUAGAUGGGGGUAAUGCAAUUUUAUUAAUUGCUUUUGUUGAUCCUUCUGGUCUCUUAAUUAACCUUUCCAGAAACAUGAAGCUCCGUUUUUGAAUUGGUGAAAACACAAACAAACAUGCUCGCAAUCGUGAGUUAAAUAGUUCAGUUGUCUGUCUAGCAAAGAACUUGAAAGAAAACCGGGUGCCUGCAGAGAUUGAAGGGAGAAAGUCUCAUUUUCCGAAUAUUGUGUCAAAAAGUGAUUGAACAAAGGCAAUUACCAGGCUUGCCGAGAGAGGGAGAUCUUUGAAGGGGUCUUGGAUUGCAAGCCAUGAUCUAGAAAGUGAUUGUUCCCCACCCCUAUAUCUCUGUAUCUCUCUGAGGUAUGAACCUCCCACUGGCCACCCAAUUCGGUGGAUAAUUAUAUAUAUGUAGUUGCAAAUUCGUUUUCUUUUGAAUGUGGGCAUUCAUCGUUUACGUUAGAAUUAGUCCUCAACUCUAUUGAAUUCAUAACUUCAGCAAAAUCAGCAGAUAACGUAUUUAAUUUCUUUCUCAAGGACAAUUUCAUAUUUACCUUUGUUAAGGUUUUGCACUUCAU
rnacentral:lncRNA from 1 species